rnacentral:rRNA from 1 species
AACGAACGCUGGCGGCAUGCCUAACACAUGCAAGUCGAACGAGACCUUCGGGUCUAGUGGCGCACGGGUGCGUAACGCGUGGGAAUCUGCCCUUCGGUUGGGAAUAACUGAGAGAAAUUUCAGCUAAUACCUUAUAAUGUCUUCGGACCAAAGAUUUAUCGCCGAGGGAUGAGCCCGCGUAGGAUUAGGUAGUUGGUGGGGUAAUGGCCUACCAAGCCGACGAUCCUUAGCUGGUCUGAGAGGAUGAUCAGCCACACUGGGACUGAGACACGGCCCAGACUCCUACGGGAGGCAGCAGUGGGGAAUAUUGGACAAUGGGCGAAAGCCUGAUCCAGCAAUGCCGCGGGAGUGAUGAAGGCCUUAGGGUUGUAAAGCUCUUUUACCCGGGAUGAUAAUGACAGUACCGGGAGAAUAAGCUCCGGCUAACUCCGU